AGAGUUUGAUCAUGGCUCAGGACGAACGCUGGCGGCGUGCCUAACACAUGCAAGUCGAGCGGGGAGAAGAAUUCGUUUUUCUCUUUAGCGGCGGACGGGUGAGUAACACGUGGGUAACCUGCCUCAAAGAGGGGGAUAGCCUUCCGAAAGGAAGAUUAAUACCGCAUAAUAUCAGGAAGCUGCAUGGCAUUCUGAUCAAAGGAGCAAUCCGCUUUGAGAUGGACCCGCGGCGCAUUAGCUAGUUGGUGAGGUAACGGCCCACCAAGGCGACGAUGCGUAGCCGACCUGAGAGGGUGAUCGGCCACAUUGGAACUGAGACACGGUCCAGACUCCUACGGGAGGCAGCAGUGGGGAAUAUUGCACAAUGGGGGAAACCCUGAUGCAGCAACGCCGCGUGAGUGAUGAAGGCCUCCGGGUCGUAAAGCUCUUUGAUCAGGGACGAUAAUGACGGUACCUGAAAAACAAGCCACGGCUAACUACGUGCCAGCAGCCGCGGUAACACGUAGGGGGCAAGCGUUGUCCGGAAUUAUUGGGCGUAAAGGGCGCGUAGGCGGAUAUACUAGUCAGAUGUCAAAUCUUCGAGCCUAACUCGAAAACUGCAUUUGAAACGGUAUAUCUAGAGAGAGUGAGAGACCA
rnacentral:rRNA from 1 species